rnacentral:pre_miRNA from 1 species
ACAAUACUCCCUCCGUUCCAAAUUACUCAUCGAAGAAAUGGAUGUAUCUAGAACUAAAAUACAUCUAGAUACAUCCAUACCUGCGACAAGUAAUUCAGAAUGGAGGGAGUACUAU